GGGGAUGCAAUGGUAUCGACAAGAUUAUUGCUUAUCCAAGUGCAGUAGGGUCAGCCCUUUAUAGCUCGAGGUAUUGUUACAUGACAACGCUAAUUCUGAAGCUGUUCAACUUUCCGACUACGAAGUUGCUCAACUUUCAAGUCAAAACUAUUCUAGCUACGCGUUUGUAGCAUAAGGGUAACUGACUAUAAGUAUGUUUGGUUUUAGGUUUUUACCGACAUACAAAAAAUAAAAAUCUAUAUUUCUUAAUUUGGUGCGUUAAGAAAUGAAAAUUAGCAUCAUAUAUUAUAAAUGGUUGUUGUAUUACCAUAAUUUAUAAUGAAAGUUAAAAUACAACUAAACUGUAGUACUUUGAUAAAAGAUAAUUUUGGAAAGGAGUUCAAUUCUCCUCAUCUCCACCA
rnacentral:tmRNA from 1 species